rnacentral:rRNA from 1 species
AUUGAACGCUGGCGGCAGGCCUAACACAUGCAAGUCGAACGGUAACAGGAAGCAGCUUGCUGCUUCGCUGACGAGUGGCGGACGGGUGAGUAAUGUCUGGGAAGCUGCCUGAUGGAGGGGGAUAACUACUGGAAACGGUAGCUAAUACCGCAUAAUGUCGCAAGACCGAAGAGGGGGACCUUCGGGCCUCUUGCCAUCGGAUGUGCCCAGAUGGGAUUAGCUUGUUGGUGGGGUAACGGCUCACCAAGGCGACGAUCCCUAGCUGGUCUGAGAGGAUGACCAGCCACACUGGGACUGAGACACGGUCCAGACUCCUACGGGAGGCAGCAGUGGGGAAUAUUGCACAAUGGGCGCAAGCCUGAUGCAGCCAUGCCGCGUGUAUGAAGAAGGCCUUCGGGUUGUAAAGUACUUUCAGCGGGGAGGAAGGGAGUAAAGUUAAUACCUUUGCUCAUUGACGUUACCCGCAGAAGAAGCACCGGCUAACUCCGUG